UACGGGGGGGGCAAGCGUUGUUCGGAAUUACUGGGCGUAAAGGGCUCGUAGGUGGCCAACUAAGUCAGACGUGAAAUCCCUCGGCUUAACCGGGGAACUGCGUCUGAUACUGGAUGGCUUGAGUUUGGGAGAGGGACGCGGAAUUCCAGGUGUAGCGGUGAAAUGCGUAGAUAUCUGGAGGAACACCAGUGGCGAAAGCGGCUACCUGGCCCAUUCUUGACGCUGAGGCGCGAAAGCUAGGGGAGCAAACGGG
rnacentral:rRNA from 1 species